UCGAGGGGUAUAGGUUUUCGGACCUAGAGACCGGCGCACGGGUGCGUAACGCGUAUGCAAUCUACCUUUUACAGAGGGAUAGCCCAGAGAAAUUUGGAUUAAUACCUCAUAGUAUUAUUGAAUGGCAUCAUUUAAUAAUUAAAGUCACAACGGUAAAAGAUGAGCAUGCGUCCCAUUAGCUUGUUGGUAAGGUAACGGCUUACCAAGGCAACGAUGGGUAGGGGUCCUGAGAGGGAGAUCCCCCACACUGGUACUGAGACACGGACCAGACUCCUACGGGAGGCAGCAGUGAGGAAUAUUGGUCAAUGGGCGCAAGCCUGAACCAGCCAUGCCGCGUGCAGGAUGAAGCAUCUAUGGUGUGUAAACUGCUUUUGUACGAGAAGAAACACUCCUACGUGUAGGAGCUUGACGGUAUCGUAAGAAUAAGGACCGGCUAACUCCGUGCCAGCAGCCGCGGUAAUACGGAGGGUCCAAGCGUUAUCCGGAAUCAUUGGGUUUAAAGGGUCCGUAGGCGGUUUUGUAAGUCAGUGGUGAAAGCCCAUCGCUCAACGGUGGAACGGCCAUUGAUACUGCAAGACUUGAAUUAUUGGGAAGUAACUAGAAUAUGUAGUGUAGCGGUGAAAUGCUUAGAGAUUACAUGGAAUAC
rnacentral:rRNA from 1 species